rnacentral:rRNA from 1 species
UACGUAGGGGGCUAGCGUUGUCCGGAUUUAUUGGGCGUAAAGAGCGUGUAGGCGGCCAGGUAGGUCUGGUGUGAAAACUCGAGGCUUAACCUCGAGAUGUCAUCGGAAACUAUACGGCUAGAGUCCGGAAGAGGAGAGUGGAAUUCCUGGUGUAGCGGUGAAAUGCGCAGAUAUCAGGAAGAACACCUAUGGCGAAAGCAGCUCUCUGGGACGGUACUGACGCUGAGACGCGAAAGCGUGGGGAGCGAACAGG